CCCUAUGGGGUGCACCAGGCGACAAACAGAAUCAGCAUUUUCAUGACGCAUUCAGCCAGGUUCGUUCUGCACAAACCUCCGCCUCCCAGAUAAUACCCGCGUCCGCCGGCUGGAGUUUCAGCUAUCGCACGACGAAAAUCUGGUUGCAGAGCGUGCCGUCCGUAUCCACCCGCCGGACGUAAGCGACCGCCCUGCCGUCCGGAGAGAACACGCAGGCCUCCGGACGAGGAGCGUCCGCGGGGUCGCGCCGGGGGGUCAGGCGCGUGGUGUCGCCGGUUGCGCUGUCCGUGGCGCACACGCUUCCAUCCAUGACGUGGGCGAUCCGACGCCCAGCGGGACUCCACGAGAACGCACUCGCGAUGGGCCAGGGAUUACGGGUGAGUUGGCGCAGAUCGCCGUUGGCGGGAGGGC
rnacentral:rRNA from 1 species